rnacentral:rRNA from 1 species
UACGAAGGGGGCUAGCGUUGCUCGGAAUCACUGGGCGUAAAGGGUGCGUAGGCGGGUCUUUUAAGUCAGGGGUGAAAUCCUGGAGCUCAACUCCAGAACUGCCUUUGAUACUGAAGAUCUUUGAGUCCGGGAGAGGUGAGUGGAACUGCGAGUGUAGAGGUGAAAUUCGUAGAUAUUCGCAAGAACACCAGUGGCGAAGGCGGCUCACUGGCCCGGUACUGACGCUGAGGUGCGAAAGCGUGGGGAGCAAACAGG